UUAUUGUUACAGUUCCAUUCAAAACUUGAGAGGAGGCUGCCUGCCUAUAACACCAGGGUCAAACUGCCCAUGGGUCAGAAAGCAGACAUUUAUUAUGAUGAGGAGGACAGUGGAGAGGAUGAUGCAGACGUGGUGACACGCACAGCCCUGAAGCGUCAAUCCCAGCAAAUCAUAGAGGCCAAGACCAAACGCCGCAACCGCUACAGAAAGAAGGAUGGGAAGUAGUGACUGUGUCCUGUGUAGUCCUCCUUCCCAGCUCCUGAUGCAGACCAAAGUUCUUGGUUAUUAAAGAUGCCUCCUAGGCACUGGUCUCCUGUAUGAGCCAGUUCCACCUUUCAUUUCCACCACUUCCAGGCCCCAGGAAAGAAAGGAAUAUGACUCCUUGUGGAUCUGUUCCCCAUCCCUGGAUGGACCAGGUCUGGACCCAUAGUGACCUGCAGUGGGUGUUUCUCUCCUUCUCUCCUGCCUUUGAGUUCCCAGCAAUGUGAGAAGCAUGGCUUCUUCAAUGCUGGUACAUGAGGAGUGACCCUGACACAAGGAGAGAAAGAAGAGAGAUCCUCCAAGUGAAACCAGCCCCUUGCCAUUCCAAGACUAAAACAUGAGCAAAACAAAAACAAAACCCUUCCACACCCUUUGACUAAUCUACACUACCACCUACAACCACAAUUGACCUCUUGGCCUUUGCACACUUAGGGAGAGGUGGACUGGAGGUCUCAAAGGCAGUCACACUCAGGGUGGAGUAGGGCGGCUGAAUGCAUUGUUUGCUGUAUUUCAUGCAAUAAACCUUGUUCAGAUUGA